rnacentral:rRNA from 1 species
AUAUGGUAGGAGAGCGUUCUGUAAGCCUGCGAAGGUGUCUUGUAAAGGAUGCUGGAGGUAUCAGAAGUGCGAAUGCUGACAUGAGUAGCGAUAAUGCGGGUGAAAAGCCCGCACGCCGUAAGCCCAAGGUUUCCUGUUCAACGUUCAUCGGAGCAGGGUGAGUCGGCCCCUAAGGCGAGGCAGAGAUGCGUAGCUGAUGGGAAGCAGGUUAAUAUUCCUGCACCGUCGUAUGAUGCGAUGGGGGGACGGAUCGCGGAAGGUUGUCUGACUGUUGGAAUAGUCAGUUUUUGGCUCAUAGAAGGUGCUUAGGCAAAUCCGGGCACGUAAUUCAAGGGGUCGAGACGAGCGGCUUUAUGCUGCGAAGCAAUCGGAAGUGGUUCCAAGAAAAGCCUCUAAGCUUCAGUCAUACGAGACCGUACCGCAAACCGACACAGGUGGGCGAGAUGAGUAUUCUAAGGCGCUUGAGAGAACUCGGGAGAAGGAACUCGGCAAAUUGGUACCGUAACUUCGGGAUAAGGUACGCCCUAGUAGUUUGACCACUUUACUGUGGAAGGAUGAACGGGUUGCAAUAAAAUGGUGGCUGCGACUGUUUAAUAAAAACACAGCACUCUGCAAACACGAAAGUGGACGUAUAGGGUGUGACGCCUGCCCGGUGCUGGAAGAUUAAAUGAUGGGGUGCAAGCUCUUGAUUGAAGUCCCAGUAAACGGCGGCCGUAACUAUAACGGUCCUAAGGUAGCGAAAUUCCUUGUCGGGUAAGUUCCGACCUGCACGAAUGGCGUAACGAUGGCCACACUGUCUCCUCCCGAGACUCAGCGAAGUUGAAAUGUUUGUGAUGAUGCAAUCUACCCGCGGCUAGACGGAAAGACCCCAUGAACCUUUACUGUAGCUUUGCAUUGGACUUUGAACCAAUCUGUGUAGGAUAGGUGGGAGGCUUUGAAGCGGGGACGCCAGUUCUCGUGGAGCCAUCCUUGAAAUACCACCCUGGUUUGUUUGAGGUUCUAACCUUGGCCCGUAAUCCGGGUCGGGGACAGUGCAUGGUAGGCAGUUUGACUGGGGCGGUCUCCUCCUAAAGUGUAACGGAGGAGUUCGAAGGUACGCUAGGUACGGUCGGACAUCGUGCUAAUAGUGCAAUGGCAUAAGCGUGCUUAACUGCGAGACCGACAAGUCGAGCAGGUACGAAAGUAGGACAUAGUGAUCCGGUGGUUCUGUAUGGAAGGGCCAUCGCUCAACGGAUAAAAGGUACUCUGGGGAUAACAGGCUGAUUCCUCCCAAGAGUUCAUAUCGACGGGGGAGUUUGGCACCUCGAUGUCGGCUCAUCACAUCCUGGGGCUGUAGCCGGUCCCAAGGGUAUGGCUGUUCGCCAUUUAAAGUGGUACGUGAGCUGGGUUUAAAACGUCGUGAGACAGUUUGGUCCCUAUCUGCCGUGGGCGUUGGAAAUUUGAAGGGGGCUGCUCCUAGUACGAGAGGACCGGAGUGGACGAACCUCUGGUGUACCGGUUGUCACGCCAGUGGCAUUGCCGGGUAGCUAAGUUCGGAAGAGAUAACCGCUGAAAGCAUCUAAGCGGGAAACUUGCCUUGAGAUGAGAUUUCCCGGAGCCUUGAGCUCCUUGAAGGGUCGUUCGAGACCAGGACGUUGAUAGGCUGGGUGUGGAAGUGCAGUAAUGCAUUAAGCUAACCAGUACUAAUUGCCCGUACGGCUUGUCCCU